AAUUUUUGCUUCUGGAGUGCCAAAACCGCAAAAAAUUGAACAUGCUCAACAGUUGUACUGACUCGCCGAAAAGGAUCGGUGCCUGAAUGAUGACGUUGCACUCACUGAGAUGCAUCUCUUUAUCUUGAAGAUAAGGUAUAUUCACGUCCGCUAGUUUGCAAUAAGAAUACCAAUUAUAAUACAUGUACAACGGAUAAUUAUUGACAUUAUGUGAAUGACUUAUAACGUCAUCAUGUCUUAUAUUUGUUGAAACUACUGGAAUAAUAUUGAGAUAUUGGAAUGAAUAUACCAUGUGUCCCAGCGUUCGCACCGCAGUAUGUCUGGUUGCCUGACGUUAAUUACAGCGUUGACUGAAGAUUGAUCAAUCAACGAUUACAGGCUUAUGCUAUAGGGCAGUAUAGGCUCAUCAGUCAACGGUAUAGGGGCUCCACGCUCCGUGAAUGAACCUGGUGGCAGGCAAUCAGCCAUACUGCGGUGUGCGCAGCCAUACGCUGGGACACGCGGUACAUCUUGUGAAUGAUACGAAACCUUUUGUGAUUUCAUAAUGAAUUUUUGGAAGAAGCAAUUGUUGAAUAUAUCCUGCCUGUUUUAUUUGAAAAUAAACAAACAUCAGUUUUCAAACCAAUGACUUGGUUCCUGUUGAUUGAAGUCUGUACGUGCCUCUUACUGACUUUCUUCAUUAGCAGGACAUCACGUCACAUCAUUUCGAGAGCUCGACAUUAUCACUUCCGGUUUUUAUACAUACGAGAUUGAAGGAUUAAAUAGAGAUGAUCGCAAAUGAUGAGGCCUGCAAGCAACUAGUGGAUAUUUUAAUCAUAGGCGAAAAAGUAGGGUUGAAUACACAUGCUUGAAUGCAUGCACACGAUAAGAAACAUGGGGUCUCGGAACACCUGCUUGCCUAUCCGGUUCUUCUGAUAACAGAAUCGGUCUUGGAGGCAAUUGAGCAACGUUGAAAAAUUCGCAGCGAGGGCCAAAAAUAACAUGAAUUCUUUGGAAAAGUACCGCAAUGAAGCUAAAUCCAUCCGAAUGAUCUUAAAACAGUCAAUUGCGAACGUGCGAUUCGGUAUUCGGUCAUCGGAGCAUCUCGUACAUAGAUCCUUCUUUUCCGAAGGAACGGCAGUAUGGCCGUAGCAGCCGAAGCGAGUGGUCAUCGGGAGCGACAUCGAUGGUAGCGCCUCGGAGCAGAGAAGGAAGGAGCUAGAGAGGGGAGAGAAAGAGAGAGAUAAUCGGGAUUUAUCCUUGACAGUCGUCGGACUUGCCUGGUUUUUCGCCAUACGGUUCAACCUAUACCUACGCUGUGCUGCGAAAUUCGUAUAAAGGCUUCCAAUCAGUCGCCACGGUGGCUAAUUCGUCGCAGUACUCAUUCAACUCUCAUUGUCAAUCAGGAAGGGCAGAAGUUACACAGUAUCGCACAAUUCGUUUACAGGUACUCUGAGAUGCUGUCGCCGCAGUUAUGACCCCCUGGACUUCUCCUGUUCAUCAGGGG